GUCCACGCCCUAAACUAUGUCAACUGGUUGUCGGGGGAUUAACUCCCUUGGUAACGAAGCUAACGCGUGAAGUUGACCGCCUGGGGAGUACGGUCGCAAGAUUAAAACUCAAAGGAAUUGACGGGGACCCGCACAAGCGGUGGAUUAUGUGGAUUAAUUCGAUGCAACGCGAAAAACCUUACCUACCCUUGACAUGCUAGGAAGCUCGCAGAGAUGUGAGCGUGCCCGAAAGGGACCUAGACACAGGUGCUGCAUGGCUGUCGU
rnacentral:rRNA from 1 species